AAUUCUUCCCUACCAUCAGCACGUAGGUGGCAAUUCUUAUAGUUGGCACUAUAAAUUUACAUGAAAUGUUAAUAGGUUUUUGAAGUGUUCUAUACUGACCAGAAACCCCCUGAUUCUUGGAUACGUGCGGUAAUUAAAUGGGCUGAGAAGUUACCUUAAAAAGUUAAUUCUCUUUUGCAUACACCUUGAAGAGUUUUCUGAUUGCAAAAAAAUUUAACUCAAACUUGAGUGAAG